UUAAGAGCAAAGGGCUGAUACCUUAUUCUGCCUGCAAACAAUAGCCUACAUAUCCACGGAGCUGAGAGCAUCUUAUAAUGUCUGCACUGUGAAGAAUCAUAAACUCCAUAGUACCCACAUGCCAUUUCUUUUUCCUAGUCUCUAUUAUCUAAAUCAUUGGAGUUGGUGGUGAUGGUGUGCCUGCCAUCACCACCACUCUGCCCCUAUACUUAUUCUUAUUUACCCACAUACACCCCUAAGUCUGAUUAUUAGGAAUUUACUCACUAUCGCCUCUAUGGCACUAUUUCACAUAAACUAUGCAUCCACGUGUAUUUUUAUGAUUUGUUGUGCCGUUACAAC
rnacentral:lncRNA from 1 species